rnacentral:tRNA from 1 species
GGCAAGAUGGCCGAGCGGUUAAGGCGGGAGACUCAAGUUCUUCUGGGGCAACCCGCGCGAGUUCGAAUCUCGCUCUUGUCA